rnacentral:lncRNA from 1 species
UCCGUGUGCCAAAAUUAGGCCACGGGCACAGCCGCGCCCAAAAAUCAGCCCCCGAAGGUUGGGGCGCAAGACCCCCCAGCGGAAAAAUGGCCAAAAAACGGGUGGGCUAUAGCCUUUGGUGGGGGGCGUGGGCGAAGUUCGUCCGCCGGACUCGGAAUGGCCCCAGACUUUGCGGGCGGCCUCCGUGUGCCAAAAUUAGGCCACGGGCACAGCCGCGCCCAAAAAUCAGCCCCCGAAGGUCGGGACGCCAAGACCCCCCAGCGGAAAAAUGGCCAAAAAACGGGUGGGCUAUAGCCUUGGUGGGGGGCGUGGGCGAAGUUCAUCCGCUGGACUCGGACUGGCCCCAGACUUUGCGGGCGGCCUCCGUUGGCCAAUAUUAGGCAACGGGCACAGCCGCGCCCAAAAAUCAUCCCCCGAAGGUCGGGGUGACAAGACCCCCCAGCGGAAAAAUGGCCAAAAAAUGGGUGGGCUAUAGCCUUGGUGGGGGGCGUGGGCGAAGUUCGUCCGCCGGACUCGGAAUGGCCCCAGACUUUGGGGGCGGCCUCCGUGUGCCAAAAUUAGGCCACGGGCACACCCGCGCCCAAAAAUCAGCCCCCAAAGGUCGGGGUGCCAAGACCCCCCAGCGGAAAAAUGGCCAAAAAAAGGGUGGGCUAUAGCCUUGGUGGGGGGCGGGGGCGAAGUUCGUCCACCGGACUCGGAAUGGCACCAGACUUUGCGGGCGGCCUCCGUGUGCCAAAAAUAGGCCACGGGCACAGCCGCGCCCAAAAAUCAGCCCCCGAAGGUCGGGGCGCCAAGACCCCCCCAGCGGAAAAAUGGCCAAAAAAUGGGUGGGCUAUAGCCUUGGUGGGGGGCGUGGGCGAAGUUCGUCCGCCGGACUCGGAAUGGCCCCAGACUUUGCGGGCGGCCUCCGUGUGCCAAAUUAGGCCACGGGCACAGCCGCUCCCAAAAAUCAGCCCCCGAAGGUCGGGGCGCCAAGACCCCCCAGCGGAAAAAUGGCCAAAAAACGGGUGGGCUAUAGCCUUGGUGGGGGGUGUGGGCGACGUUCGUCCGCCGGACUCGGAAUGGCCCCAGACUUUGCGGGCGGCCUCCGUGUGCCAAAAUUAGGCCACGGGUACAGCCGCGCCCAAAAAUCAGCCCCCGAAGGUCGGGGUGCCAAGACCCCCCAGCGGAGAAAUGGCCAAAAAACGGGUGGGCUAUUGCCUUGGUGGGGGGCGUGGGCGAAGUUCGUCCGCCGGACUCGGAAUGGCCCAAGACUUUGCGGGCGGCCUCCGUGUGCCAAAAUUAGGCCACGGGCACAGCUGCGCGCAAAAAUCAGCCCCCGAAGGUCGGGGCGCCAAGACCCCCCAGCGGAAAAAUGGCCAAAAAACGGGUGGGCUAUAGCCUUGGUGGGGGGCGUGGGCGAAGUUCGUCCGCCGGACUCGGAAUGGCCCCAGACUUUGCGGGCGGCCUCCGUGUGCCAAAAAUAGGCCACGGGCACAGCCGCGCCCAAAAAUCAGCCCCCGACGGUCGGGGCGCCUAGACCCCCCAGCGGAAAAAUGGCCAAAAAACGGGUGGGCUAUAGCCUUGGUGGGGGGCGUGGGCGAAGUUCGUCCGCCGGACUCGGAAUGGCCCCAGACUUUGCGGGCGGCCUCCGUGUGCCAAAAUUAGGCCACGGGCACAGCUGCGCGCAAAAAUCAGCCCCCGAAGGUCGGGGUGCCAAGACCCCCCAGCGGAAAAUGGCCAAAAAAACGGGGGGCCUAUAGCCGUGUGGGGGGGCGUGGGCGAAGUUCAUACGCCGGACUCGGAAUGGCCCCCGACUUUGCGGGCGGCCUCCGUGUGCCAAAAUUAGGCCACGGGUACAGCCGAGCCGAAAAAUCAGCCCCCGAAGGUCGGGGUGCCAAGACCCCCCAGCGGAGAAAUGGCCAAAAAACGGGUGGGCUAUAGCCUUGGUGGGGGGCGUGGGCGAAGUUCGUCCGCCGGACUCGGAAUGGCCCAAGACUUUGCGGGCGGCCUCCGUGUGCUAAAAUUAGGCCACGGGCACAGCUGCGCGCAAAAAUCAGCCCCCGAAGGUCGGGGCGCCAAGACCCCCCGGCGGAAAAAUGGCCAAAAAACGGGUGGGCUAUAGCCUUGGUGGGGGGCGUGGGCGAAGUUCGUCCGGCGGACUCGGAAUGGCCCCAGACUUUGCGGGCGGCCUCCGUGUGCCAAAAAUAGGCCACGGGCACAGCCGCACCCAAAAAUCAGCCCCCGACGGUCGGGGCGCCUAGACCCCCCAGCGGAAAAUUGGCCAAAAAACGGGUGGGCUAUAGCCUUGGUGGGGGGCGUGGGCGAAGUUCGUCCUCCGGACUCGGAAUGGCCCCAGACUUUGCGGGCGGCCUCCGUGUGCCAAAAUUAGGCCACGGGCACAGCUGCGCGCAAAAAUCAGCCCCCGAAGGUCGGGGCGCCAAGACCCCCCAGCGGAAAAAUGGCCAAAAAACGGGUGGGCUAUAGCCUUGGUGGGGGGCGUGGGCGAAGUUCGUCCGCGCGGACUCGGAAUGGCCCCAGACUUUGCGGGCGGCCUCCGUGUGCCAAAAUUAGGCCACGGGCACAGCCGCGCCCAAAAAUCAGCCCCCGAAGGUCGGGGCGCCAAGACCCCCCAGCGGAAAAAUGGCCAAAAAACG